UAUUUUUUUUAUUUAAAAGCUAAAUAGCAAAAACUGGUAAAUCAUUAUCAUUAAAUCACACACAAAAACAAACAAUCCAUCAUUAAAAACUCCAAAGUAAAAAAUAAAAUCAGCAACAUAGAAAAACCCCCACAGUGGAAACAUUCACUUGGUUUUCCAUUCCCCUAUUACCCUUCAGAGAACUCAUCAGCUGACAUCAAUACACUGUAGAGAGAGAGAGACAGUGUUUUUAAUUGAGAAGCAGUAAUUAUCCUAUUGGAUGAGGUUAAUGAACACAACCAACACGCCAUGUUGCCUACAGCUAAACUGGUAAUUGAGUUUCUAUUUUCUGAGACGGCUGCUCUGGCUCUCCUUGUGACUGUUCUACUAACCCCCCCCCCACACACACACACACUAACAAAUGGCACUCUAUUCCUAAUGCAGUGCACUACUUACCCAUAGGGCCCUGGUCAAAAGUAGUGAACUGUGUAGGGAAUAGGGUUCCAUAGGGCCCUGGUCAAAAGUAGUGCACUAUGCAGGGAAUGGGGAGCCAUUUGGGAUGCAGUCAUGUGUUGCUGGCCACACAGUGGGCGUAUCAGAUUGGUUGGGGCCUCUGUGUUGGACGGGGACUGUUAGAUCGUGAAAGGCCUGAGCAGUAGGGACCACAAGCUGGGUGAAGUUAGGUAGUCCCCUAGGUACAGAUCUAGGAUCAGUUUCCCCCUCCCACAAUCCAAAAACCUUAACCAUUAGUGUGGAAAAUGCUAAACUGACCCAAGAUCAGUAUCUAGUGACAAAUUCACCUUCCAUCUAUCCCCUGGGGGUGGCACAGACGGUGCAAGAGGUGUCACCAAUCUCAUCUUCAGGAGACCAUCUUACACAGAUCAUACUGAUAAUAUUCAAGGCCUUUGUUAAUAAGAGUCCUAUGGUUUGCCUCUUCUAUAAACUGUUAAAAAGGUCAGACUUGGUAAGCUUUAUUUCCUAUGCCAUUGGUGUGAAUUUAUAGGACGGCUACUGUUUCCAUAGUGAUUAUAUAAGGCUCUCGUUACAGUUGAGGUCACAUUUCCAGUGCAGCAUCCUCCCUCGUUACAGUUGUUGUUCUGUCCCAUUUCCAGUGCCGCAUCCUCCCUCGUUACAGUUGAGGUCACAUUUCCAGUGCAGCAUCCUCCCUCGUUACAGUUGUUGUUCUGUCCCAUUUCCAGUGCAGCAUCCUCCCUCGUUACAGUUGUUGUUGUCACAUUUCCAGUGCAGCAUCCUCCCUCGUUACAGUUGAGGUCCCAUUUCCAGUGCAGCAUCCUCCCUUGUUACAGUUGUUGUUCUGUCACAUUUCCAGUGCAGCAUCCUCCCUUGUUACAGUUGUUGUUCUGUCCCAUUUCCAGUGCAGCAUCCUCCCUUGUUACAGUUGUUGUUCUGUCCCAUUUCCAGUGCAGCAUCCUCCCUCGUUACAGUUGUUGUUCUGUCACAUUUCCAGUGCAGCAUCCUCCCUCGUUACAGUUGAGGUCCCAUUUCCAGUGCAGCAUCCUCCCUCGUUACAGUUGUUGUUCUGUCCCAUUUCCAGUGCAGCAUCCUCCCUCGUUACAGUUGAGGUCCCAUUUCCAGUGCAGCAUCCUCCCUCGUUACAGUUGCUGUUCUGUCACAUUUCCAGUGCAGCAUCCUCCCUCGUUACAGUUGAGGUCACAUUUCCAGUACAGCAUCCUCCCUCGUUACAGUUGUUGUCACAUUUCCAGUGCAGCAUCCUCCCUCGUUACAGUUGUUGUUCUGUCCCAUUUCCAGUGCAGCAUCCUCCCUCGUUACAGUUGAGGUCACAUUUCCAGUGCAGCAUCCUCCCUCGUUACAGUUGAGGUCACAUUUCCAGUGCAGCAUCCUCCCUUUAAGCUUAUGAUUUAGACUUAUUUGACUGACAGCAUCACUUCUACAGCACCACAGAGGAAGAGGCACUGACUGACUGUUAUUUACUAGCUAGCUUGCUGUUGGAUUUUUAAAAAAUCAUGAUGUCAAUCUGUUCAAAACAACAGUAGUAAAAAAAUGUUUUUUUAAAGACAACGCCACUUUUUGACCAGGUCUUUUUCUGCACCUGGAGAAACAAUAAGACUUCCAGCUUAUAGCAAAUCCUUGUUGUAAAUUCAACAGGAAAGAGUCAAUGUAAAAGACAGAAAACAUUGAGAAGUAUCUCUCAGGUAAGUGAGCUAAAGACAAACAUGAUGGAAGGCUAGGAUGAACUUCUCCCAACACAAUGGUUUACAGCAGUAUCUCUCAGGUAAGUGAGCUAAAGACAAACAUGAUGGAAGGCUAGGAUGAACUUCUCCCA